ACCUUGGAAGGUACCUCCAGAAGCCGUUAUACUUCAUGAACUGAAGUUGCAGACGAUUUUGACAGAUCGAUUUCGGUGAACAACACAGAUGAUCCACCACACACACGACGUGGGAAAUGGAACAGAUACAUCGUGGAGAUGUUGAAAGAGAUCAGGUAGGGUAUACCCAUGCAACUACAUUAUCCAUGGCACGUUGUAUGACGUCCGACAUUAGGCAAAAAAU